rnacentral:rRNA from 1 species
GUUCCACGGGUUCCGUGUCGGAGCUAACGCGUUAAGCAUCCCGCCUGGGGAGUACGGCCGCAAGGCUAAAACUCAAAGAAAUUGACGGGGGCCCGCACAAGCGGCGGAGCAUGCGGAUUAAUUCGAUGCAACGCGAAGAACCUUACCUGGGCUUGACAUGUUCCCGACGAUCCCAGAGAUGGGGUUUCCUUCGGGGCGGGUUCACAGGUGGUGCAUGGUCGUCGUCAGCUCGUGUCGUGAGAUGUUGGGUUAAGUCCCGCAACGAGCGCAACCCUCGCCCCGUGUUGCCAGCGGAUUGUGCCGGGAACUCACGGGAGACCGCCGGGGUUAACUCGGAGGAAGGUGGGGAUGACGUCAGAUCAUCAUGCCCCUUACGUCCAGGGCUUCACGCAUGCUACAAUGGCCGGUACAACGGGAUGCGACAGUGCGAGCUGGAGCGGAUCCCUGAAAACCGGUCUCAGUUCGGAUCGCAGUCUGCAACUCGACUGCGUGAAGGCGGAGUCGCUAGUAAUCGCGAAUCAGCAACGUCGCGGUGAAUGCGUUCCCGGGCCUUGUACACACCGCCCGUCAAGUCAUGAAAGUGGGCAGCACCCGAAGCCGGUGGCCUAANCCCUUGCGGGANGGAGCCGUCUNAGGUGAGGC